rnacentral:tRNA from 1 species
GGGCGAUUAGCUCAGUUGGGAGAGCGCCUGCCUUACAAGCAGGAUGUCGGCGGUUCGAGCCCGUCAUCGCCCA